AGUGAGCACCCCCAUAUAGUCAGAAUGGUACGGUCUUGUUUCAUAACCACAUUUUGCGACGAUUCGACGGCAAGACUGGCAGUCGAAUCAGACUUCUCCGAAUCGAAUCACCGAAUCAUCGACUAUUCAGGGUCAACCCUACAUUCAUUAACUGAAAGUGACUAAUCCGCACAGCAGCAGUAAAGCCCAGCAUACACUGUACGAUUUUUAAAAUCUUGUUGUUAAUACCAGCUCACACUGUACGAGUGAAUCAUCUACGAUGUGCGGCCAAAGCUCACGAUUUAUGUGCUCACACUGUAUGUUCCGAUCAUCAAGCACGAUCAGAGAGCUCACACUGUACGGGUGAAAACGGCUCGUUGGCCCCUGCUGACUGUCCUGCCCGUUGACAGCUGUCAAUAAAGAUACAUUUGAAAGCUCAGAUUUGUUCCGGAAGUGCCGAUGUUGCCAACGAACCAGGACAAGCGGUUUGCUUUGGUGAUUUGCGCUAUACUGUGUGCCGAAAUGUCCAAAAAGAAGAGGCGUCGGCGCAUAUGGACUCGCAGAUGGCUUGAGAGACGUGGACAGUAUGGUUUGUCUAUUUUACAACGAGAGUUGGAGGUGGACGAUAUGAAGGGAUUUCGCAACCUUCUAAGAAUGUCUGUGGAGGACUUCAGUCACCUUCUGGACAGAGUAACACCUAUCAUCCUGAAGCAGGACGGCCAUCUAAGAAAAGCCAUUAGCCCAAAGGACAGGCUCUCUGUGACAUUACAGUUCCUGGCUACAGCUUCAAGACCCGCAUCUGACAGCUUCUGUAUGGCAGUCGCCCUGAGGCUGUGAUUGGUGUAUCUUCGGCAGCAUCUGUGCGAGUGAAAUAUUCAACUCAUUGAAUUUCCAAUAUCAGAUUGGAAGCACAACUCUGAGCAGGAUUGUUAUGGAGACCUGUGCAGCCCUAACUUCUGUGCUAUGCGAGGAUUUCCUGAAGGUAACACAGUCAGAAACACUUACGGCCCUAACUGUACGUCACAUGAUCUGUGAUGAUUUCUUUAAGCACAAUACACAAGAAUUAUGCUUUCACUAUUGAAUAUUUUUAAUCACACCUUUUUUAACUUUACCGAAGGGUGUGAUGGUAUGGUGUAAAAUGUCAACUAACCAUGCUAUCAAUGACAUCCUACUCAAUAAUAUAUGAUUGUCUGAAUUUGUUUUGUUUUUGUGCAUAUAGAAGUCAUUGUUAACAUUUCUUGAGCCAGAGUGGAAAGCCAUUGCCAAAGACUUCCAUGACAAGUGGCAGUUUCCACACUGCCUGGGUGCAGUGGACGGGAAACACGUUUUCAUUCAACCUCCUGCCAACAGUAGAAGUGUGUAUUACAACUACAAGUCCCGGUUUUCCAUCAUACUCAUGGCUGUAGUUGAUGCAAAUUAUAAGUUUGUUUAUGCAAGUGCAGGAACCCAGGGCAGAGUGUCAGACGCUAGCGUGUUUGCACAAUCAGACUUGGGAGCCGCAAUGGACAAAGGCCUCCUUCAUGUCCCCCCUGAUGACACACUGCCCAACACUGAUAUCUUGAUGCCCUACAUGUUCAUUGGAGAUGAGGCCUAUCCACUCAGAGCAGAUCUCAUGAAGCCUUACCCCUUCUGAAACCUGAACAGGAGUCAGAGGCUCUUCAAUUACCGUCUGUCUCGGGCUCGACGAGUAGUGGAAAAUGCCUUUGGAAUAUUAGCCAAUCGCUUCAGAGUUUUCAGAACAACUAUUUCCCUGGAUCCAGACAAGGUCAUGAACAUCAUCUUUGCAUGUCUGUGCCUGCACAACUUCUUACGUGACAGAAGAUCUGAUGCCUACUUGCCACCUGCCUAUGUGGAUUCAGAAGAUGCCAACCAUCAGCUGAUUGAAGGUGCAUGGAGGAGAGAGGGCAUACUACAGCCUGCACCAGUGGGAAGAGCAAGAAAUCCCUCUGUUGAAGCGAAGGGGCAACAAGACAGACUAUGCCAAUACUUUGUGUCACCUGCAGGAAGUGUUUCAUGGCAGGAGGGCAUGGUGUAGGCUUAAAAUCAGGGAUGCAGGAAGUAGGGGUGCUGAGGGGGCUGUAGCAAGGCAAAACUGUUUACUAAACAAAUCGAUAAAAAAACAUUUAUUGUUUGAGUGUAGCAUUUUAGCGUAAGCUGGCUGAGAAACAUGGUUAUGUGUUAAACAGUUGAAAUCCACCCUUUGUUAUUUUUUAUAUUUCAUUUCAUUUCAUUUCAAAACAUCCAUUGUAUUUUCUGUGUAUCUGAUGCAUAAACGCAGACAGGUUAGAUGUGUAGCUUGUUAUCUGUCUCUCAAUUUUCCUGCCUCACUGGUUACAGGAUGUAAUUUAUUAUUUCAUUUAGUAAAUGUAUUUCUUGUUUCUGUCACAGAUCUGUAGUGUGACAUGCUUUGAAUAAGAGUGAGCAAUGAUCAUGUCAACUCAUUUGGCAAUGGCUUGAAUGUAGCGAACACUGUUUGACAUUAAUUUAAUAUGUAAUAGUUAUUGCACUAUAA